UGCCGUUGCUGCGAGCGUAACCAGAAUUGAUGCUGCUGCCGCCGUCCCGGUUGCGUUGAAAUCGCCGCUGCAGUUGCCAAUUUAGACUAAGCAGGGAUUGUUGCGUUAAACUAUGCGAUUGCGACAUCGAGCGACAGGUUUGAAGACGCAAUUUGAAGCUGCGAGAGAUCAGUAGGCUUUCUUUAUGGUUUUAAUUGCUUUCAUAGAGUCCCCUCGCUAUUGUCCUUUGAGAAUUCAUUUUACAUAGAGGGGUAGGUUUAGUAUAUUAUAUUUGAGUUUUAUUUGGUCUCUUUUGUAUAAGAAUUAUUAUCAAUAAUAUCUAUGUGAUUAUUAUUAUUUGUGAA